AGUCCGCCUGAAGAACAAAAAUACUUUUUCCGAUUGACACUAAACAAAAAAGGACUCGAAAAGAUAAGAAUAGUAGAUUACCCAAAGACAAUGUGAUUUUAGUAUUUGGUUAAAAGAAAUUUUUAAAUAAGAACAUUGUUAAAAGACAUUCAUAAUCACGGAUAUAAUACAUUCAGAUAUAUCACAAUCAAAAAUAAAACUUUAACACAUCAUUUAAAAUAUAUUAAAAUAUUACACAUAAUAUCAAGCAAAUGCAAAAAAAGAACGUAUUUCCAUUAAAAAUAUAACUGAAAUGAAUACUGAAAAUAAAAUAGUACAAAUAUCAUAAAAUGUAGUUGAUAACAAAUAAAAAUUCAAACGCGUAAAAAUUAUAAACUAAAAAAUAUAUAUAUAAAUAUAUGUAUAUAUCUAAUUAGAAAAGAAACUAUAU
rnacentral:lncRNA from 1 species